UCUCGAUAGCGUUAAAGUUACCUCAAAUUUGUAUGGAGUUGGAACGUAUGCCUACGUGUGUCACUAGGGGCGCUGUUUCAACUGCAUACAAAUUUGCUUAACCUUUUACGCUAUCGA
rnacentral:pre_miRNA from 9 species